UACGAAGGGGGCUAGCGUUGCUCGGAAUCACUGGGCGUAAAGCGCACGUAGGCGGCUUUCUAAGUCAGGGGUGAAAUCCUGGAGCUCAACUCCAGAACUGCCUUUGAUACUGGAGAGCUUGAGUCCGGAAGAGGUGAGUGGAACUCCGAGUGUAGAGGUGAAAUUCGUAGAUAUUCGGGAAGAACACCAGUGGCGAAGGCGGCUCACUGGGCCGUAACUGACGCUGAGGAGCGAAAGCAUGGGGAGCGAACAGG
rnacentral:rRNA from 1 species